rnacentral:rRNA from 1 species
GUGGGGAAUAUUGGGCAAUGGGCGAAAGCCUGACCCAGCAACGCAGCGUGAAGGAAGAAGGUCUUCGGAUCGUAAACUUCUAUCCUUGGUGAAGAUAAUGACGGUAGCCGAGAAGGAAGCCCCGGCUAACUACGUGCCAGCAGCCGCGGUAAUACGUAGGGGGCAAGCGUUGUCCGGAAUGAUUGGGCGUAAAGGGCGCGUAGGCGGCCUGGUAAGUCUGGAGUGAAAGUCCUGCUUUUAAGGUGGGAAUUGCUUUGGAUACUGUCGGGCUUGAGUGCAGGAGAGGUAAGUGGAAUUCCCGGUGUAGCGGUGAAAUGCGUAGAGAUCGGGAGGAACACCAGUGGCGAAGGCGACUUACUGGACUGUAACUGACGCUGAGGCGCGAAAGUGUGGGGAGCAAACAGGAUUAGAAACCCUUGUAGUCC